AAUUUUGGACAAUGGGGGCAACCCUGAUCCAGCCAUCCCGCGUGUGCGAUGAAGGCCUUCGGGUUGUAAAGCACUUUUGGCAGGGAAGAAAAGGCGCGGGCUAAUACCCGGCGCCGCUGACGGUACCUGCAGAAUAAGCACCGGCCAACUACGGCCCAGCAGCCGCCGUAAUACUUGGGGUGCAAGCGUUAAACGGAAUUACUGGGCGUAAAGCGUACGCAGGCGGUUCGGCAAGAAGGAUGCGAAAUCCCGGGGCUUAACCUCGGAACUGCAUUCUUAACUGCCGGGCUAGAGUAUGUCAGAGGGGGGUAGAAUUCCACGUGUAGCAGUGAAAUGCGUAGAGAUGUGGAGGAAUACCGAUGGCGAAGGCAGCCCCCUGGGAUGAUACUGACGCUCAUGCACGAAAGCGUGGGGAGCAAACA
rnacentral:rRNA from 1 species